rnacentral:rRNA from 1 species
UACGUAGGGGGCAAGCGUUGUCCGGAUUUAUUGGGCGUAAAGAGCGUGUAGGCGGCCAGGUAGGUCCGUUGUGGAAACUCGAGGCUCAACCUCGAGACGUCGAUGGAAACCAUCUGGCUAGAGUCCGGAAGAGGAGAGUGGAAUUCCUGGUGUAGCGGUGAAAUGCGCAGAUAUCAGGAGGAACACCGGUGGCGAAGGCGGGACUCUGGGCCGAUACUGACGCUGAGGAGCGAAAGCGUGGGGAGCAAACAGG